UGCAACCGUAGUCUAAUGGAUAGAACGUCAGACUCCGACUCUGAUAAUGCGGGUUCGAUUCCCGCCGGGUGCAU
rnacentral:tRNA from 1 species